GCCGCCUUAGCUCAGUUGGCAGAGCGAGUGCCUUGUAAGCUCUAGGUCGUCGGUUCGAUUCCGACAGGCGGCUCGA
rnacentral:tRNA from 1 species